rfam:Camelus ferus unplaced genomic scaffold scaffold1108, whole genome shotgun sequence.
GGGGGUAUGGUUCAGUGGUAGAGCACGUGUUUGGCAAACACAAGGUCCUGGGUUCAAUACCCAGUACCUCCA